ncrna:unclassified sequences DTF3800-IX RNA
UUCCCGCGUCCCGAACUGUCGCCGUAUGGCGUGCGUGUCCCGGUUCCGCCGGGACUAGGGGCCGGGAAGGCA